GGCGUAAGCGCACGCAGGCGGUCUGUCAAGUCGGAUGUGAAAUCCCCGGGCUCAACCUGGGAACUGCAUUCGAAACUGGCAGGCUAGAGUCUUGUAGAGGGGGGUAGAAUUCCAGGUGUAGCGGUGAAAUGCGUAGAGAUCUGGAGGAAUACCGGUGGCGAAGGCGGCCCCCUGGACAAAGACUGACGCUCAGGUGCGAAAGCGUGGGGAGCAAACAGGAUUAGAUACCCUGGUAGUCCACGCUGUAAACGAUGUCGAUUUGGAGGUUGUGCCCUUGAGGCGUGGCUUCCGGAGCUAACGCGUUAAAUCGACCGCCUGGGGAGUACGGCCGCAAGGUUAAAACUCAAAUGAAUUGACGGGGGCCCGCACAAGCGGUGGAGCAUGUGGUUUAAUUCGAUGCAACGCGAAGAACCUUACCUGGUCUUGACAUCCACAGAACUUUCCAGAGAUGCAUUGGUGCCUUCGGGAACUGUGAGACAGGUGCUGCAUGGCUGUCGUCAGCUCGUGUUGUGAAAUGUUGGGUUAAGUCCCGCAACGAGCGCAACCCUUAUCCUUUGUUGCCAGCGGUUAGGCCGGGAACUCAAAGGAGACUGCCAGUGAUAAACUGGAGGAAGGUGGGGGAUGACGUCAAGUCAUCAUGGCCCUUACGACCAGGGCUACACACGUGCUACAAUGGCAUAUACAAAGAGAAGCGACCUCGCGAGAGCAAGCGGACCUCAUAAAGUAUGUCGUAGUCCGGGAUUGGAGUCUGCAACUCGACUCCAUGAAAGUCGGAAUCGCUAGUAAUCGUAGAUCAGAAUGCUACGGGUGAAAUACGUUCCCGGGCCCUUGUACACACCCGCCCGGUCACACCAUGGGGAGUGGG
rnacentral:rRNA from 1 species